ACAAAACAGGAAAAAAAAAAACCAAACAGCCUCUGAAUAUCAUCGGCUGCAAUACCAUAGUAUCAGGGGGAUAAUAAGAGAUGGGGCAAAAAACAUUGAUACAAGCCAAUCCAGUUACAUCAUUUAGACUUACAAGCUUUUGGUUCAAAAUAAAUAUAGUGGAGUCAAAUAUAUCUUUAAGACAGUAUUUCAAAACUCAAGAUACGGUGAAAAAAGGAGUCUCUGACCUCCUAAUCCCUUUCUCUCCCUCAGCUCACUGCUAAUGAAGCCCACCAAAGACCUGGAACUGUUGUCUGUUUUCCAGCUUCAUCCCUUUGUGCUUGUUAGCUGUGCUUCAGCCUAUCAAUUCUGAAGAAAUAGCUGUCACUCCUCUAAAAUCACAGAACUGGCAGAAGGUAAUUGGAGACAAUAUCCCCAGCUUUCCAGCACUGGGGAGCCAUGGCAGCAAGCAAGCCUUUGUAUAAUUUGAAGACACAUUUUUAGUAUAUCUGUAACAUUGUUAGCAGCAAUUGUAAUUUAUUCUGCAGUUGUAAUCCAAUAGUGCUUUACAAGAAAAAUCCAUGUUUAUUUCCAGGAAGAGAAUGGCAUUCUUAAGCUAUACUGGAAGAGCUUUAUGCAAGCAACUGUCAAAAAAUGUGAUAGCUAGAGGUUCCCAGGACACUGCUCUGCCACCUGUGUGUGCUCACGGUUUGCAGGCAAAAGGGAUAAUUGGAAAUCCCCUUUAUCAGAACUAGCUUUGGAUUUCACUUGUGAGAUUUUGCUUCCAUGGUGCAACAAGUACCCAUCUGCUUUCUUGCCUGCUGUUUCUUCAGACUUUAUCAGUCUUUGCUGGUUCCUGACAAGUCUUCUUCAAUAAAAACAUGACUUCUAGCUUUCAGCACCUGAUGGACUUCUAAAAUUCAGGUCACACAUUCUGCAACACAGAGAGAUUUUUACUACAGUUCAGCUACUGGACUGUGAAACUCAGUUGGUGAAUUUAUGCAAGCUAGAAAAAAACUGCCUCUUAAUU